CCUACGGGUGGCAGCAGUGAGGAAUAUUGGUCAAUGGCCGGAAGGCUGAACCAGCCAUGCCGCGUGAAGGUCAGUGCCCUAUGGGCGUUAAACUUCUUUUGUUCGGGAGCAAUAAUGGUCACGUGUGGCCAGACGAGAGUACCGUACGAAUAAGCAUCCGCUAACUCCGUGCCAGCAGCCGCGGUAAUACGUAGGUGGCAAGCGUUAUCCGGAUUUACUGGGUGUAAAGGGCGUGUAGGCGGGACUGCAAGUCAGAUGUGAAAACCACGGGGUCAACCUGUGGCGUGCAUUUGAAACUGUAGGUCUUGAGUACUGGAGAGGCAGACGGAAUGCCUGGUGUAGCGGUGAAAUGCGUAGAUAUUAGGAGGAACACCAGUGGCGAAGGCGGUCUGCUGGACAGCAACUGACGCUGAGGCGCGAAAGCGUGGGGAGCAAACAGGAUUAGAUACCCGAGUAGUC
rnacentral:rRNA from 1 species